rnacentral:ncRNA from 1 species
AAGGAGAAAGCCGAAAAUCCUAAUGAACAGAGUAGGUG